CGAGAAACGAGUGCUCUACUGCUAGUGCUAUGAUGAUGUGCUGAUCGUAGAUUGACUGUACUCUGAAGGUCCAGUUCGAAACUUCCGGAAUCUUUGAAGUUACCUGACUGUGUACAGCGUUUCAACAAACACAGUUUUAGUUGUCACCAACUAUCAUCACGCAAGAAGUCCUCAGCAGAUGACAGUUUGAACUACAAGUGUACGCUUCACCUCUCGAAAUUACUGCAAUUACUGGUUCAUUAAGAUGAUGAGGAGCAGCAGUUUCCUCACAAGAGAUGCACCAAGGCUGUAAUGAGAACACUUAGAUUGCAG